rnacentral:rRNA from 1 species
ACACAUGCAAGUCGAGGGGUAACGAUGUAGCUUGCUACAGGCGACGACCGGCGCACGGGUGCGUAACGCGUAUGCAACUUUCCUUAUACAGGAGGAUAGCCCAGGGAAACUUGGAUUAAUACUCCAUAAUGUCACCAGGUCGCAUGGCCAGGUGAUUAAAACUCCGGUGGUAUAAGAUGGGCAUGCGUAGGAUUAGCUAGUAGGUAGUGUAACGGACUACCCAGGCAACGAUCCUUAGGGGUUCUGAGAGGAUUAUCCCCCACACUGGUACUGAGACACGGACCAGACUCCUACGGGAGGCAGCAGUGAGGAAUAUUGGUCAAUGGGCGCGAGCCUGAACCAGCCAUCCCGCGUGCAGGAUGACGGCCCUAUGGGUUGUAAACUGCUUUUCUACGCCAAGAAAGGCCCGUACGAGUACGGGAUUGACGGUAGCGUAGGAAUAAGCAUCGGCUAACUCCGUGCCAGCAGCCGCGGUAAUACGGAGGAUGCAAGCGUUAUCCGGAUUCAUUGGGUAUAAAGGGUGCGCAGGCGGGCUUGUAAGUCAGUGGUGAAAUACUGCCGCUUAACGGUAGAAUUGCCAUUGAUACUGCGAGUCUUGAGUAUGGUUGAGGUAGGCGGAAUGUGCAGUGUAGCGGUGAAAUGCAUAGAGAUUGCACAGAACGCCGAUUGACGAGGCAGCUUACUAAGCCAUAACUGACGCUGAGGCACGAAAGC